CCGACCUUAGCUCAGUUUGGAAGAGCGUGAGACUGUAAUUGGUGAACCGGUAUAUCUCAAUGUCGCCUGUUCGAGCCAGGCAGGUCGGA